rnacentral:rRNA from 1 species
UGCCAGCAGCCGCGGUAAAACGUAGGACGCAAGCGUUAUCCGGAUUUACUGGGCGUAAAGCGCAGGCAGGCGGCAAGCCAAGUCGGACGUGAAAGCUCCUGGCUCAACUGGGAGAGGCCGUUCGAAACUGGCUGGCUGGAGGGCAGCAGAGGAACAUGGAAUUCCGGGUGGAGUGGUGAAAUGCGUAGAGAUCCGGAGGAACACCAGAGGCGAAGGCGAUGUUCUGGGCUGUACCUGACGCUGAACUGCGAGAGCGUGGGUAGCGAACGGGAUUAGAUA